AUUGAACGCUGGCGGCGUGCCUAAUACAUGCAAGUAGGACGCAGUUGCGAACGGGUGAGUAACGCGUCGGUAACUGCCUAUUAGAGGGGGAUAACUAUUGGAAACGAUAGCUAAUACCGCAUACUAGUAGAUGGACCUGCGUUGUAUUAGCUAGUAGGUAGGGUAAUGGCCUACCUAGGCGACGAUACAUAGCCGACGUGAGAGGGUGAUAGGCGACACUGGGACUGAGACACGGCCCAGAGGCCUACGGGAGGAAGCAGUGGGGAAUUUUCGGCAAUGGGGGGAACGCUGACCGAGCAACGCCGCGUGAGGGAAGAUGGUUUUCGGAUCGUAAAGGUCUGUUGUUAAGGAAGCGGUACUUAACCAGAAAGGGAAGGCUAACUACGCGCCAGCAGACGCGGUAAUUC
rnacentral:rRNA from 1 species